GUGAAAUUGUUGAAAGGGAAGCGGAUAUAGUCAGUGGUAUCGUUGGAUAUAUUUCUGUUAGUUUCGGCUGCAGCCCUGUAUCCAAUGAUUAGUUAACAUGAGUUUACUUCGUGGGAGAUGCAAGAUGGAGAGUCUGUAACCCCGGUUACUAUCUGUUUUGUGUACCAUGGGAUAGACUGAGGAAUGAAUGCAAGUUUGGCUUUGGCUCUGUUGCAUCAUGAUGUUGACGAAAUGGCUUUAUCCGGCCCGUCUUGAAACACGGACCAAGGAGUCA
rnacentral:rRNA from 1 species